rnacentral:rRNA from 1 species
ACAGGAUUAGAUACCCUGGUAGUCCACGCUGUAAACGAUGGAUACUCGCUGCUCGAACACUCGAGUUCGAGUGCCUGCGCGAAGGCAUUAAGUAUCCCACCUGGGGAGUACGCCCGCAAGGGUGAAACUCAAAGGAAUUGACGGGGGCCCGCACAAGUGCUGGAGCAUGUGGUCUAAUUCGAUGAUACGCGAGGAACCUUACCUGGGCUCGAAUGGUACCGGAAGGUCCCCGAAACGGGACUGUUUCUUCGGAACUGGUAUCAAGGUGCUGCAUGGUUGUCGUCAGCUCGUGCCGUGAGGUGUUGGGUUAAGUCCCGCAACGAGCGCAACCCCUAUAGUUAGUUGCCAGCAGGUCAAGCUGGGGACUCUAGCUAGACUGCCCGUGCAAGCGGAGAGGAAGGCGGGGACGACGUCAAAUCAUCAUGGCCCUUACGCCCAGGGCUACACACGUGCUACAAUGGCCGGUACAGCAGGCAGCGACCCCGCAAGGGCAAGCAAAUCCGCAAAAGCCGGUCUCAGUUCGGAUCGUAGUCUGCAACUCGACUACGUGAAGCCGGAAUCACUAGUAAUCGCGUCUCAGCAAUGACGCGGUGAAUACGUUCCCGGGCCUUGUACACACCGCCCGUCAAGCCACGGAA